UACAGAGGUCUCAAGCGUUGUUCGGAUUCAUUGGGCGUAAAGGGUGCGUAGGUGGCGCUGUAAGUCGGGUGAUGAAAUUUCGGAGCUUAACUCCGAAACUGCAUUCGAUACUGCGGUGCUUGAGGACUGGAGAGGAGACUGGAAUUCAUGGUGUAGCAGUGAAAUGCGUAGAGAUCAUGAGGAAGACCAGUGGCGAAAGGCGGGUCGUCCGUGGACGAGUUCCUGACACUGAGGCAACGGAAGGCCAGGGGAGCAAACGGG
rnacentral:rRNA from 1 species